AUUGAACGCUGGCGGCAGGCCUAACACAUGCAAGUCGAGCGGAGCGGCGGACGGGUGAGUAAAGCCUAGGAAUCUGCCUGGUAGUGGGGGAUAACGUCCGGAAACGUGCGCUAAUACCGCAUACUAUCAGAUGAGCCUAGGUCGGAUUAGCUAGUUGGUGGGGUAAAGGCCUACCAAGGCGACGAUCCGUAACUGGUUUGAGAGGAUGAUCAGUCAACAUGGAACUGAGACAGGGUCCAGACUCAUACGGGAGGCAGCAGGGGGGAAUAUUGUAGAAGGGGCGAAAGCCUGAUCCAGGCAUGCCGCGUGUGUGAAGAAGGUCUUAGGAUUGUAAAGUACUUUAAGUUGGGAGGCGUUACCAACAGAAUAAGCACCGGCUAACUUCGUGCCAGCAGCCGCGGUAAUAA
rnacentral:rRNA from 1 species